AGCGAACGCUGGCGGCAGGCUUAACACAUGCAAGUCGAACGGCAGGACCGUGAGUGUUUGGUCUUCUGGAUGGGCGGUCGCGGACGUAAGAGGAGAGUAACCGAAUCUUCUCUUUGGUGGGGGUUAACGAAGGUAGAGCUAAGCUAGUAUCGCAUAUGCCUUUCGGUUGUGAGGAUUGGAUAUUCUCAGCUUUCGCGAGUGAAUGAGCCGCUGUCGGGUUAGUGGGUUGGGGGGUGGAAGGCCCACCCAGGCGACGAUCCGUAGCUGGUCUGAGAGGAUGAUCAGCCACACUGGAACUGAGACACGGUCCAGACUCCUACGGGAGGCAGCAGUGGGGAAUAUUGGACAAUGGGCGCAAGCCUGAUCCAGCCAUACCGCGUGGGUGAAGAAGGCCUUCGGGUUGUAAAGCCCUUUUGUUGGGAAAGAAAAGCAGCAGGUUAAUACCCCGCUGUUCUGACGGUACCCAAAGAAUAAGCACCGGCUAACUUCGUG
rnacentral:rRNA from 1 species